rnacentral:rRNA from 1 species
GAUUUCUGGUCUAGUGCGCCUGGCCCACGGCCGUUAGGCUUGUGAGUGCCGGUGCGCGCUUGCCAUCCUUUCUAGUCAGCGGCUCUGUCCUUUAUUGGUCGGAGUCGUGGGCUAGAUCUAUUACUUUGAAAAAAUUAGAGUGUUUAAAGCAGGCUUGCGCUAUGAAUAUAUUAGCAUGGAAUAAUAAUUUAGGACUUUGUUUCUAUUUUGUUGGUUUCUAGAGGCGAAGUAAUGAUUGAUAGGGAUAGUUGGGGGUGCUAGUAUUCAGCGGCCAGAGGUGAAAUUCUUGGAUUCGCUGAAGACUAACUUAUGCGAAAGCAUU